AAAUUUGCCUGAGUAAUUUGCUGAUAGAAUACCCAGGAUCUUUUUACCCCUUUAACUAGUUAAUGAACAUUUCAGUUAAUAGUCCAAGACAGGUUCCAAAUAGGGCAUGUGAGAUGAAUUCCAGAUGUUAAAUGCUUCUUAAUUUUGUCUUUACAUAGCGAUGACUUCAUGCCCAGUUCUAGGAAAUGCUUAAGCAAAUGAACUUCAUUACAUAUCAGGUGUCAUCUUCUGAUGAAUGCAUAGUUUAAAUAGCCUAAAAAUACAUUCUUUAGUGGAUGCAAAUGAUAUUUCUAUAUUUAAAUCCAAAUGGCCUUAUCUGCUUCCCUCAGAAAUGUAAAUAAGGUUUAUUAUCUUGUCAAUGGGAUUUUGUCCAUUAAGGUAUAUUAUCACACUGCUACUAAGAAUUGGCAUAGGAUGUAAAUCGCACUGAUUAUUUUUGUGGAAAGCAUCUGAUCCAGAUACAACUAACAAUUGCCCUUGCAUGAGAAGAAACUAUAAAUCCACUCUGAAUUUUUGAACAUAAUCUCUAUCCAAUAUGUUUAAAGGUUUAAAAAUACAUUGUGGAGAUAGAGUCACUCAAUAGAAUAAAGAAAGCAGAGCUAGUUUGUAAUUAUAGGUAAACUUUUUUUUUUUUUGUCUUUUUAAGGCCGCACCCAUGGCAUAUGGAUGUUCUCAGGCUAGGGGUCUCAUCGGAGCUACAGCUGCCAGCCUGCGCCAGAGCUCAUGGCAACGCCGGAUCCUUUAACCCACUGAGCGUGGCCAGGGAUGGAACACGGAUACUAGUUAGGUUCGUUACCGCUGAGCCAUGACCGGAACUCCACAUAGGUAAACAAUUUUUGAUAAAUUAAAGGGAGCAUUAGAGCAAAUAAAUGUGUACCACAGAGUCCUGUCCACUUAGUUCUGAAUUUUCAGGCCAAGAAGAAUACAGUCGAAUGUUACAGUCAUCACAGCCCUGGGACACAUUGUAACCAGCUGAAGAAAAGUACAGCUCUUGCUUAUCAAACACGUUCUUCUCAUGGAUGCUCAACGCAUCAACAGUAGACCUGUCGUUUAGUCAGUUCCAUAGGCUUCUCUAGAAAUUCGAAGUGCAUGGUUCAAUCUAUCCUCAGGCCUUGGUACCAGUGGCCAGUGAUGCUAGGGAUAAAAUCUGUGCCAAAGAGCAGCAGUGUUAACAGACGCAUCUAGUGAUUUUUCCCCCUUGAGUCAUGGAGAAGGAAGUCCUUGUAAGAGUAGAUGAUACACCCGUAAUUGGUGAUGUGAGACUGACACACUACCUCCUGCACUAAGGAGGCAUCUCAGGUGAUUGGUAAGAGUUGACAGAUAAUAAGAGAGAGAGAAUGAUUUUUAAAGAUCUAUUUCUAUACAUAACUAAAACAACUUUUAUAACCUGUAAAAUAAGUUUUUUUCCUUCUAGCACCGCAGUUGACCUCAGUGAAAAACCCAGUAUUUCUCUGGAAGAAGACGGGAACAAGGCGAGCGCCUUCUCAAAAUAUCCUGAAAAGCAGGAUCAAUUUCUGAGGAAAAGGACCAACUAUGCGACAGGCACUGAGGGUGCACUGGCAUCUAAACAUCUGGGGAAUGCAGUCCCUCACCCUGGAGAUGCCCAGCUGCCGUGGGCGAGGCGAAGGGAGGGGCAGGCCUUGAGCAGAGCUGGCCCUGGAAGAGGUGCCGGGAGACCCGCACGGGAGGAGACCUGAGAGCUGAGUUUUGAAGACUGAGGGAGAAGCCGGGGUUUCCUGAAACCUCAAGAUAGGUCUGGGGUUUCAGACUUGGCGACCUCCUGAAUCAUGACGCCGUUAACCAAGACAGGGAAGGAACAAAGGAGGGCUCCUUUCUGGAAGAAGAUGAGGAGUUCAGAUUUGGCAUUCCUGCUUGAUUCUCCUGCCUUGGUUUUGAUCCCAGGGCGGCGUGGUUGACGGGAACUGGCUUUCACUUCAAGCCGGAUUCAUGGCAUCCUGGCCCUACCAUAUGCGCUAAUGACGUUAAAAUGGACACAUUUCUUACACCCUCGUUUGUAAAUAGGAAUUGAUGAUGCAUACUUCUUAAAGGGUAAGGUUUAAACUGUAACGUAGUAACUAAAUUUGUAAUCCUUUUAGCAAUAUUUCCAGACCUCCCUGAGCACAGUCUGAACCCAAACUGAAUCCACUUUGUUGCUUCAAGUCUUUUUUAAAUUUAGUGAAUGUGUUUUUUCCUGUGAUUUUGUAAUUGAACUAUAGUGGAUUUACAUUUCAGGUGUACAGCAAAGUGAUUCGGUUGUGAUAUACGUAACUGCCGAUUCUUUUCCAUUAUUGGAAAGAGGUGGGGAUGCUACCACCAGAUAGUGAAUGCAGUUCUGUGCUGUAGAAUCGGGCUUUGUUAGUUAUCUAAUUUGUUUAUAGUGUGUGUCUGCUCACCCCAAUCUCCUAAUUUAUCCUGCCCCCACCCUUUCCCCUUUGGUAACCAUACUUUUGUUUUCUCAGUCCGUGAGUCUCUGUUUCAUAUAUAACUUCAUUUGUAUCAUUUUUUUAGAUUCCACAUAUGAGUGAGAUCAUGUGAUACUUGUCUUCGUCUGAUGUAGGUGUAUUCUUUGGAAUAUAAGCUCUAGGUCCAUCCAUGUUGCAUUAUUUCACCCCUUUUGCCACUGAGGGUGAACUUUCUUCUAUUGCCUAUAACCCCAUUCCUCACGCUAUGCGGGCUGAUCUCCUAGUGCCCCCCCUUUUACCUGGAGCUGACUCCCCUUAUUCUCACCACACUUUGUAGCCAGUGUUGAGAAGCAUGCCCCAGCUCCCUGCUGUCUUUAAGCCUCAGGGGAGGGGAUGGGUAAAACCAAGGAUGCAGGAAUCUCCGCAGUUCACAUCUGUAUCAUCUGCUGGGACCACACCUCGCCGAUGCAUUUUGCGCGUUUACAGUCAGGCGCGAACGUCCUUGGUUCUUCAAUCCCCGGCCUCCGUGGGGAGGGAUGUCCUCCCACAGUCCCGGGGCCAAGUCAGGAUACAGAGGGAUGUCAUUCUGCCGGACUGCUCACACGCACAACGUGACAGCUGUUGUAUGACAAGCUGAAGUGGGAGCGUCACAAGCUGGGAAGGAAGAGGAAAUGCUUUCCGGAUUCACUGAAGCACAACUUGAAUAAACACAGAAAGCUGGAGACAAUUAGGGAACUCGGGCUGACAGGCAGCUAUCAGGAACAUCAGGCCAGCCAGGGAACAGUCACAAACAGCACAAUAUCUUUCAGAUAGUUGCGGCCAGUGUUAAUUAAAGAGCAUUUCCUGUGUGCUCAGUUUAGCAAGGACUGCUGGACCACUGAGGGUAUUUUUGGCUACAUGCUCAUGCAGAUUUCAACAGUGCCUCUCUGAGCAGAACGACCACAUGGCUCCCUGCUAAUCUGCCUGUAUUUUCAAAGUAGGGCUUUGUACUCACUCUUCAUUCAGAUAAAAGGACUUCAGCCUCCCCGGGAGAAAAGAGCGCAGCACAGGAGGUUAGUGAGCUGGGCUAUUGGGCCAAAUAGUAGACAACCUAACAGAUUGACACCUAUGGAGGCAAAUGUGCCAUAGCAGAAAAAGUCCCGGGCAGAUGCCAAUCCCAACUCUGCAAUAAGCACAGGGACGCAUAUCCAGUGUCUUGGGACAGACCACGAUGGGAGAUGAUAGAAGAAAAGGAAGGUAUAUGGAUGUAUCACUGGCCACUUUGCUGUAUGGCAGAAAUCAGCACCACACUGUAAAUCAACUACACU